rnacentral:rRNA from 1 species
UACGGAGGGUGCAAACGUUGCUCGGAAUCAUUGGGCGUAAAGCGCACGUAGGUGGUCCGUUAAGUCGGGAGUGAAAGCCCUCGGCUCAACUGAGGAAGUGCUUUCGAAACUGGCGGACUUGAAUACUGGAGAGGAUCGCGGAAUUCCCGGUGUAGAGGUGAAAUUCGUAGAUAUCGGGAGGAACACCAGCGGCGAAGGCGGCGAUCUGGACAGAUAUUGACACUGAGGUGCGAAAGCGUGGGGAGCGAACAGG